rnacentral:rRNA from 1 species
UACAGGGGGUGCUAGCGUUGUUCGGAAUUACUGGGCGUAAAGGGCGCGUAGGCGGCUCAACAAGUCAGAUGUGAAAUCCCGGGGCUUAACUCCGGACGUGCAUUUGAAACUGUUAGGCUAGAGUGCAGUAGAGGAUGGUGGAAUUCCCAGUGUAGAGGUGAAAUUCGUAGAUAUUGGGAGGAACACCAGUGGCGAAGGCGGCCAUCUGGACAGUGACUGACGCUGAGACGCGAAAGCGUGGGUAGCAAACAGG